rnacentral:lncRNA from 1 species
UUGCAAUGAUCAUAAAAAGUCAAGUUUGUCAUACCACUAGCAGAGAAUAAAAAUUUGAGAACCUCAAUACGGUGUUUUCUAGUUUCCUUUACAAACUUUAAAGAAUGAAAAUGAUUCAUUUCUAAUUAUUGUAACAUUUUCUUAAAAAAUGAGCCCACUAAACAAAUUUUGUCCAUUUUCCUUUUUACAAAAUGAAAAAUAGCAAACUGAAAUUGCUACCAAACGCACCCUUAGCUUUCUGCCAUCUCAAUUUGGCUUCUUUCUUUUGUCUUUUAAAUUCUUUUUAUUUACAAUAAUUUUAUAUUUAGUACAUUUUCCACGUUGUUCUGGUACAGAAUAUUAUACGUCCUUAAUCCUUAUAUAUUUAUUUAAAAAACUGUCCCCACAAGUAUGCUUUGUGAUUGUCAUUAACUUACAUCUUCUAUAUUAAAAAGUAAGAUUUAGUUUCUGUUUAUUUUUCUACUAACAUUCUAUACUGAAAAGUCUAGAUUUCAAGAAUUUGGAGAAAUAAUUAAAGAACAGAGUUUUAAUUUUAGAAUUUAAAGAUCUUUUAAGAUAUCAGAAGAUUUUGAAGAACUUGAAAAUGGCUAACCUAAUAAAGCUUGAAUUUGAAGCCCUCAACAUUUUUGCCCAAAACUACUUGCCUUGAUGCCAUAGGUCUCGGCCAUGAAAUCAAGCCUGGCAACAACAUGCCAAGGCAAUGAUAUUCCUUCUUCAUCACCUAAUGACAUUGGGGCAUUUAUCUGGGUUUGGAUCACCAUCUAUUAUCACAUAUCAUGAGCCUAUUACAAUUGAUUUAUCAACUACACAUUUUGUCGACUAUCAAUUUGAUGAGAUAAAAUUUCCUCCAUUAGGAGAGAAAAAUCUCUCACUUUAUAAUAGGUGUAAGCUUUCAUGGUAAGUAUCAAAAUUAUCUCAUUUAGAUUCCCGCACAACUCAGAGUGAGGUGAAAUGUGGAGGAUAAUUCAAUUAUAGCAAAUUAUAAAUGGCUUGGCAAAUGCUUUUACUAAGACAUCCAAAGUAACCAAGUCAUGUAUACUAACUGCAAAUGUAAUUGGCCAGAUAGUUGUUCCUAUUGAAUAUUUUGAAAAAAGACAACUGAUGAAUUGUCUUUCGCAUGCCUAAAACAUGCUAAACCUCUUGGUUAAAUAGACAAUAUUCUAUAGAAGAGAAAAAUGAAAAGUCAGGAUCCUAUUAUUGUUAAUGAAUAGGCUAUAAGUGAAAACGCUCCUUCAAAGUAAAAGAUUGUUGAUGAGACCUGUCACUGUAGGGACACUACCUUCUAAAGAAGCAAAUACCCCAUAUAUGGGCCAAGCCCAUAGAUAUAAAGGAUGACUAGCUGUGCAAGUUGUCUCACAAAGACUUAAUAUUGAUUAUGAGGAGGUGUAUUCACUUGUAACGUGUUCAAUUAUAUUUCAAUUUUUGAUUAGUUUGACUAUGUCUCUAAUGAUACGAAUCCCACAAUGAAACUUUCAAUCCUACACUUAAUUUGUAGUUUCAACUUCCCAAGAAAGUUCUAAACAGAUUUAUGGCAAACAAAAACCUUGACCCAAUGCUUAAGAAAACAUGAACCAAAGGUAUAGAAAAGGGUAUUGACGCCACACUCAAGAAAAAGAUGAGAAGGUGAGUGAUAAGUCUAAAUUUAGAACACCACAAGAAUGUAAAUUCUUAAUAAGUUCACUAGUUCUCAAAAGAACCAAAGAAAGAAUAAUCUUUCAAAUUCAAAAUAACAUUAAUCUCCUUACAUACCAAGGUUGCUGAAUUUAAAUAGGCUAAAAGGAACCCAAGAUCCUAAAAAUACAAAUGGAAACAUUGGAACAACCCUCCAAGUAAGUUUGUCAAAAGAUGUUUCAAAAGUCUUCACCAACCCACCAUGAUCAAUGCUAUCUUUGACAAACUUAAUGCUAGCCUACUAUAAUUAAUGCUAUCAUUGACAAACUUAAUGUUAGCCCACCAUCAUUGAUGGUAGACUUACCUUACACAUUGACAAGCUUGAAACAAAACAAACAAAUAAGUUGAAAAACAAAAGAUUCGUUGAAAAUCCCAAGUCUGAACACGCUGUAAAGAAUUGGUCAUAACUCCUUCUAGAGAACUCCAAAUCCAGCUCUGUAAAAUUUAUUGGAAAGCUAACUUAAUUAUCUUUCCAACGGUAUAUAGCUUGCAUUUUAAUUCUAGCUCAAUCAAUACAGUUUUUAUUCCGAAUUUGACCUUUCUGCAUUUGAUACAACUUGUGUAUUUGGCUGCCCAAUGACUUGAAUAAUGCCCACAAUGCCUUGUCUUCUCUUCAAGCCCAAUUCAUGAUGUCUUGCAUCUUGAAUUGCAUUUUCAAUCCAUAUUUUCUCAAUUAAUCCAUUUAAAGCAGCUUGCAUCUUUUUGGCUCUUGCUCUUGUAAUUGGGCCUCCAUGAAUAUGCAAAGGAUCACUUGAAGUUUUAAUGGUCCCUUGAUGGUUCUCAUCAUCUAAUAUCACCUGAAAGCACAUAAAGUAAAAGCUUGACUUAAAUAUUAUCAUUAUUAAGUAUAGAAUCAAGCAAGGAUCAUUCCUAUAGAAGAUUAUUGCCAAUUAAUUAGUUAUUAACACAAAAAGACAAGAAACACAAAAACUAACCUAAAGUAUUAAUUUUAUAUUAAAAGUCCUAUCUAAAUUUAAUGAAAUUAGCUCAAACUUCCAAAUCUACUAAGGACAUACUAACAAAUAUGCACACAAAUUUUGGGGCGAUUUGGAAUUGAUUUGGAAUUUAAAGUCGAAAAUUUAAAAUCAUAGAGAUAACUUUAAAGAGGUUGAAAUAUGAUGCAAAGUAUGAUUAUGAAAUUAUUCUCCACCACUAAACAUUGGAUUUUAAUUCAAUUAUCUGAAUCAUCAUUUAAUUUCUUUUGAAAACAACAAUCAUAAGAUAAUUUUUAAACUCAAUUACCUUGAUCUUUCCUUACUUAGUUGCCAAGUAAAAUAAGCUCUUUACUUAAUCUUUUUCCAAGAAACAAUCCAUAAUAUGCUCUUUAGAUUUAAUUUAAUGAAAGUUUCAGAAUCCAUAAGGACAUAGGCUGCAUCAAGAAGCAAAAUUAAGGAUGGCAAUGGUAUCCACAAACCUGCAAAUCCGCCUAAACCCACCCGCAAAAACCCACCUAUUGUGGGUAAUUUUGUGGGUUGUGGGCGAGUUUGCUAUUGUAAAUUGAAACCCGCACUAGGUUGUGGGUGGUUUAGUAUUAGCCAAAUAUCCGACGGCACCUACAUGGAUAUUUGCCAACCCACACUUUUUUUUAA